CUUAUCUCAGCCGCCCAUUUCCCCCAUGGCCUCUGCCUCACACCUCUGUAUCUUCUUCUUCGCUCCCCACUUUCUUGGUUUGAAGCAGGUUCAGUUGAGGGCGUUGCAGGAAUGGCGGUGGUUGGUGGCAGCAUAUUCGUAGUUUCUUCUGUCCCUGCACGUAAAGAUGCAAUAUGAAGGAUUACACACAUAUCAAGAAACUGUACAUAACUCCAAAAAAUUUCAUCAAAAACGAUAAUCCAAAAAUUUAGAUUCUGCUUGAAUGCAAUAACAUAUUGUUACAAAAGGGUACAUGCAAUAUUACAUUAAAUAACUUUUAAAAUAUGUUUUUCCAAACCAAAAUAUAUGAAAUAUUGAAUCCUACAGGACUAUAAUAUCUGGUUUAGCAAUCAGUCUUUAACUUUUAAGGAUCAAUAAUGAAAAAGAAAAAGAAAAAGAAAUAAGGAGAAGACCAUAUGAUCAUUAAUAUAUGCAAACACUGGAGCAAGAUAUUCUCUCCUAUUUUCACCGAAAUGUAUUGGAAUAUGGAAAAUAAAAAAUUGAAUUUAUGGUUAAGAAUCUUAAGAUGGGAAGAAUGGGAUGGAUUAUUUUUAAUUUAUUGAAAAUUAUAUGAGAAAGAGGAGGGAAUCAUGUAUAGAUGAAAGAGGAUCAAUUGGAUGAGUUGGAGCUAACCAGUUGCACCAGAUGAUGACUCGCUAUGAGAAACUCUGAAAUCACCAAACCCUCGAUAAACCCUGGGAACAGUUUCAGAAUAUUGAGUUGCAGCUUCGAGUUCACGUCCUCUCUUCUGUCCAACCCAAGAUGCAGAACCGGAAGCAGAACCAGAACCAGAAGAAGAAGAGUAAGCUGACAAAGGCGAUGAAGAAGUAUAAAUCCCGGAACCACCACUCCCGAAACUCGACGUCACGCCACCAGCCGCUCCAACAAACCCUGACGCAUAACCAUAAUCUCCGGCUCGCUGCCCAGAAACCACAUGCGUCAACGCCGACACCAUCGCCGACAU
rnacentral:lncRNA from 1 species